CAUCCGUGGGAUGCAGGGAGCAUGCAAAUCCACGUCCUCUCCGGUCCACGGAAAAACACCUCUCCACGGAACCGGUCCCUGGGGCCCAAAAGGUUGGGGGCCGCUUGUAUUGUCCCUUC